rnacentral:antisense_RNA from 1 species
UUUUUUUUUUUUUUUUUUUUUUUUCCCUAGAUUCCAGGAGAUGCAGGAUUUUUCCUAAGGCAGGAGAAAACCCUAGUUCAUAGACAGCCAGGAUAAAAACCCUGGAAGACCAUGAGCCAAGAGUCCGUGAGACCAGAUGCUACAGCAAAUGUUCCAGAGAAAUGAACCUAGAAAAUGAUCCCGGGGCGCUCCUUGCGGGGGAACACAGGAUUCCUCAGCUCUAUCUCUGUGGCUUUAACAUACAUCAGUUUCAGGAAUCUCCAGCCUCAACAGAGAUAAAUGCCAGCCAACCCAGCUCCCUGGCACCCCCACCUGGUCCUGCAAGAACAGCUGACUGGCCAUCUGCACGAUCUGGUCCACGUGGAUGAUGCCCCCGAUGCUGGUCAUCUCCGUGUCUGAGAGCAGCGUCAGCACCAUGAUGGCUUCCACCAGCAGCUGCCGGUACUCGGGCUGUGGCACGCGGUUCAGCACCGAUUCGACAUGGACAGCAAACUUGAUCUCAUGCGGGGUCAUCUACCAAAGGGACAGGCAGGCAACCACCAGUGAGAGGACAGAUGCAGCCCUAUCACUGAGUAACCAAGGGUGACCGUAGCAGUGC